AAAUUGAAGAGUUUGAUCAUGGCUCAGAUUGAACGCUGGCGGCAGGCCUAACACAUGCAAGUCGAACGGUAACAGGAAGCAGCUUGCUGCUUUGCUGACGAGUGGCGGACGGGUGAGUAAUGUCUGGGAAACUGCCUGAUGGAGGGGGAUAACUACUGGAAACGGUGGCUAAUACCGCAUAACGUCGCAAGACCAAAGAGGGGGACCUUCGGGCCUCUUGCCAUCAGAUGUGCCCAGAUGGGAUUAGCUUGUUGGUGAGGUAACGGCUCACCAAGGCGACGAUCCCUAGCUGGUCUGAGAGGAUGACCAGCCACACUGGAACUGAGACACGGUCCAGACUCCUACGGGAGGCAGCAGUGGGGAAUAUUGCACAAUGGGCGCAAGCCUGAUGCAGCCAUGCCGCGUGUAUGAAGAAGGCCUUCGGGUUGUAAAGUACUUUCAGCGGGGAGGAAGGUGUUGUGGUUAAUAACCGCAGCAAUUGACGUUACCCGCAGAAGAAGCACCGGCUAACUCCGUGCCAGCAGCCGCGGUAAUACGGAGGGUGCAAGCGUUAAUCGGAAUUACUG
rnacentral:rRNA from 1 species